rnacentral:rRNA from 1 species
GGAUGCGAUCAAACCAACACUAACGCACCGGAUCCCAUCAGAACUCCGAAGUUAAGCGUGCUCGGGCGAGAGUAGUACUAGGAUGGGUGACCCCCUGGGAAGUCCUUGUGUUGCAUCCC